rnacentral:rRNA from 1 species
CCUACGGGAGGCAGCAGUGGGGAAUAUUGGACAAUGGGGGGAACCCUGAUCCAGCGACGCCGCGUGAGUGAAGAAGUAUUUCGGUAUGUAAAGCUCUAUCAGCAGGGAAGAAAGAAAUGACGGUACCUGACUAAGAAGCCCCGGCUAACUACGUGCCAGCAGCCGCGGUAAGACGUAGGGGGCAAGCGUUAUCCGGAUUUACUGGGGGUAAAGGGAGCGUAGACGGCGAUGCAAGUCUGAAGUGAAAGGCGGGGGCCCAACCUCCGGACUGCUUUGGAAACUGUAUGGCUGGAGUGCAGGAGAGGUAAGUGGAAUUCCUAGUGUAGCGGUGAAAUGCGUAGAUAUUAGGAGGAACACCAGUGGCGAAGGCGGCUUACUGGACUGUAACUGACGUUGAGGCUCGAAAGCGCGGGGAGCAAACAGGAUUAGAUACCCCAGUAGUC